rnacentral:ncRNA from 1 species
AGGUAGAACACCUGUUCAUAGGCUCUAAGUGGAAGUACAGCAAUGUAUGAAGCUGAGGAGUACUAAUAGACCGAGGGCUUGACCUC